CUAGAAGCUGUGGUAAUCCUCGUCCCCAUGAGGGAGAAGGAGGAGCUGAUGUUGGGGCCUGCUAUAGAUUAGACCUUGUGCAUGGCACUGCCCCACAGCCUAACGGGAUCCCCAAGACAGCCAUCUGAGUGGAUGGCAUUGUCCUUCUUGUAUACAGGAGGAAACCAAAGCUCAGAGAGAAGAGUGAUUUGCUGAAGAUAUACCAUGGGGUAUACAGUUAGCAGCCGUGUAUGCUCUUUGUGACUUGAGUCCCAGCAAUCCAGCAGAAAUUUCCAAGAUCCUGGAAGCUUGGCGGAGAGAGGCCUCCAAAAGCGUUCCGUCUGCGAUUGUCAGCUGCCUAGAGGAAGUCAGUGCCCUGAGCACAGAGGAGCUUGGCUGACCCGGGAUGCCACUGAGGCUUGAGAAGUGCCUUGACACAUUUUGAACACAAAUAGUGUGAUCAGCUUUCAGAAUACAAAGGGAGGUUUCAAAACAAAAAGACAUAAAAUAGAUAAAACAGACCAGAGGCUCUCCUUAUUGUUUGGCAAGGAGACAGGAGAAACAAGCAGUCGCAUAGUCGUUUUUCCCUAAAUCUCAUACGUUUCACUUAAGGCUGUUGUGAUCUGUGACAUAUGGGUUAUAUUAUUGUGUCUUUGUCAAACAACAAAAACUUGAACUUAGCCCUUUUUUUGCUGCAGAAAGUGUCCUUUUAGUGGCUUCUUAAAAUUGAGUGGCAUUUUAUAAUGAACUUACCAAUAUAAAAACAUGAUUUGGUUCCUGAGCUGUUGUUGUUGGACUUGUGCUCCAAUGAGUGACUAGGAAAAAAUAAAUUGGCAAAAACCUAGAGUUUUCUGCUAUCUUAGCUGGAAAUGAGCUGCAAAAGUUUUUCUCAAGAUGUAGUGCGUAAUUGAUCAGAGCAAAACAUGGAGAGCCCUUAGCAGAAACCCACUUUAAUGCAUUUUCUUCAUAUCCCUAAAGUUCCUUAAAAAUAUGUGACAAUGCAUCAGGAAGAGGAGAACUGAAGAGUAGAAGUUCCCUUGCAGAUUUUUUUAUCAGUGACAUGUAACGAGCAAUUCACAGAUGAGCGCAGGCAGAGCUCUGUGUGUCGUGUACAUAUGGACCGUGCUAUGAUGUGUCUCACAUUGGAUGAUAUUCCACUUUGGGAAUUUUAGUAUUUGUAUAUAGAAAAUGGGUUUAAUAACUCACCAUGGUUUUGAUUUGUCUUAUAU
rnacentral:lncRNA from 1 species